UACGUAGGCAGCAAGCGUUGUUCGGAGUUACUGGGCGUAAAGGGUGUGUAGGCGGUUGCUUAAGUUUGGUGUGAAAUCUCCCGGCUCAACUGGGGAGGGUGCGCCGAAUACUGAGUGACUAGAGUGCGGGAGAGGAAAGUGGAAUUCCUGGUGUAGCGGUGAAAUGCGUAGAUAUCAGGAGGAACAUCGGUGGUGUAGACGGCUUUCUGGACCGUAACUGACGCUGAGACACGAAAGCGUGGGUAGCAAACAGG
rnacentral:rRNA from 1 species